rnacentral:lncRNA from 1 species
CAGCAAGGAAAGCAAAAAAUAGAGCUUCAUUUUUGAUAUAUUGUUUACAGCCUGUGAAAGUGAUUUAUUUGUGUUAAUAAAACUCUUUUGAGGAAGUCUAUGCCAAAAUCCUUUUUAUCAAAAUAUUCUCGAAGGCAGUGCAGUCACUAACUCUGAUUUCCUAAGAAAGGUGGGCAGCAUUAGCAGAUGGUUAUUUUUGCACUGAUGAUUCUUUAAGAAUCGUAAGAGAACUCUGUAGGAAUUAUUGAUUAUAGCAUACAAAAGUGAUUCAGUUUUUUGGUUUUUAAUAAAUCAGAAGACCAUGUAGAAAACUUUUACAUCUG